rnacentral:rRNA from 1 species
GACGAACGCUGGCGGCGUGCUUAACACAUGCAAGUCGAACGCUGAAGCUCAGCUUGCUGGGUGGAUGAGUGGCGAACGGGUGAGUAACACGUGAGUAACCUGCCCUCUUCUUUGGGAUAACGCCCGGAAACGGGUGCUAAUACUGGAUAUUCACUGAUUCUCGCAUGGGGGUUGGUGGAAAGGUUUUUUCUGGUGGGGGAUGGGCUCGCGGCCUAUCAGCUUGUUGGUGGGGUGAUGGCCUACCAAGGCUUUGACGGGUAGCCGGCCUGAGAGGGUGACCGGUCACAUUGGGACUGAGAUACGGCCCAGACUCCUACGGGAGGCAGCAGUGGGGAAGAUAGCACAAUGGGCGAAAGCCUGAUGCAGCGACGCCGCGUGAGGGAUGGAGGCCUUCGGGUUGGAAACCUCUUUCGCUCAUGGUCAAGCCGCAGCUUUGGGUUGUGGUGAGGGUAGUGGGUAAAGAAGCGCCGGCUAACUGCGUG